AGUAAUGAGUUGGAUUUGCCAAUAGGACUUAAUGUAUUUAUUGGUCAUUCAAGUGGAGCAAAGGAGGUAUCCUCUUAAAACUCAAAAAAAAUUAGGUGUGUAUCCUGUCAGGAAACAUGC